rnacentral:rRNA from 1 species
GCUGUUAAGGGUUCGUAGUUGAAUUGGGGGCUGCAAGGGAACAGCACUGUCCUUUCCUCGUGGACUGAGACGUGUUUGCACUUGCUGCUCGUGAACAUCAGAAACAGAAUCCACGGAAUUGGACCCGUCUUUACUUACGCAUGCAAUGCAUGUCGAUGGGCGCCCGUGAUACUUACUGUGCAAAAGAAGUGUGACCAAAGCAGUCAAACGACAUGAAUUAGAAAGCAUGGGAUAACAAGGAGCAGCCUAUGGGAUACCAUUUUGGCUUUUGUUGGUUUUAAAGUCCCGCGGGAGACUUGGGCAGCCGUGACCCCGUACCGCUUUGCGGUGCGUUCUGACGACCAUUCGUGGUUCGCUCGACACGGCUGUCCAGGAAUGAAGGAGGGUCGUUCGGGGGAGAACGUACUUGAACGUGGAGGUGAAAUUCUUAGACCGUUCAAAGACGAACUACAGCGAAGGCAUUCUCCAAGGAUCCUUCCUCAAUCAAGAACCAAAGUGUGGAGAUCGAAGAUGAUUAGAGACCAUUGUAGUCC